AUGACCAUAUUAUGUUGAAAAACAGUUCCCAUAUGAUCACUGAAGUUAAGCUACGUGAAACCUGGUCAGUACCUAGAUGGGUGACCACUUGGGAAUACCAGAAGCUGUAA